UACGUAGGGUGCGAGCGUUGUCCGGAAUUAUUGGGCGUAAAGAGCUUGUAGGUGGCUCGUUGCGUCGGGAGUGAAAACCUGCGGCUUAACCGCAGGCCUGCUUCCGAUACGGGCGAGCUAGAGUUCGGCAGGGGAGACUGGAAUUCCUGGUGUAGCGGUGGAAUGCGCAGAUAUCAGGAGGAACACCGGUGGCGAAGGCGGGUCUCUGGGCCGAUACUGACACUGAGAAGCGAAAGCGUGGGGAGCGAACGGG
rnacentral:rRNA from 1 species